rnacentral:lncRNA from 1 species
GCUGGAACAUCUGUCUUCUCCUGUUCUCAGACAUCAGUGCUCUGUGUUCUCAAGCCUUCAGACUCCAUCUGUGACUUACACCAUCCCCACCCUCCCACUCUCCCCCACUGGCCACAAUGCCAGUCCUCAGGCCUUUGGACUUAGACUGAGUUUCACCUCCAACUCUUUCUUGUUUCUUCAGCUCAUAGACAGCCUAUUAUGGAACUUCUUGACCUCCACAAUCAUGUCAAACUCCCAAGAGUUUGAGGUCGAAUUUGAUGGAACACCCAGAUGUCCUCAGCUGCCAUGGAGAAUACUUACCAUAUUUGCUUGCAUAUUUUCCCUAUUAUACUGGCAGACACUUUUAGUUGUUAACAUAGAGGAAAGAGGUGAAUUAAGGAGGUAACCUAUUAAUCACUGUAGCUUGGGGCCAAUAUCAACUUUGAUGUAACCCAAGGCUUUCGGCUUUAUUAUAUUUUUUUUCAGAAAGAAGCCAUUGUUUCACAUGUGGCUAAUAAAAUAAUAAUAAUAAAGAUAGUAAUAAUAGAAGAAAAAGAGCUGACACUCACUGAGCACCUACUAUCCCCACUAUACAAGCAUACACACACACACACACACACACACACACACAUUUUGCCUCUUGUCUUUAUCGCUGUCAUCACCUCAUCACACACUUAUUCUCCUCUCUUCUGGUAAAACUAGCAAAGGUACCUGUUGAAGCCUACAGAAGUCUUGGAGAUGCAUUGGUUUGAUGUGAAAUGCCUUCACAGUGUGGAAGUGUGGCUCUAACUAAAGAUUUCUCAGCAUGGUCCAAAUGUUUGCAGCAUUAUGUAGGGGGUCUGGCAAAUGAUGAAAUUGUGCAAAAGGAUCUGCCUGGGGUUGUGGGUGGGGAAGGAUAUUUCCUUUUUAAAGACCUAACUUCUCUCCUAAACAGCAAGAGCAGGAAAUAACAGCCCCGUGAAUUUAAAAAAUAUGAAAAGACUACCAGGACUGGAAACCCUAGCACAUAGCAACUGCCAGUCUAGGGAACUCCCACAGGUCUAGAAACUACUGUUUGCCUCUAGCAAAAAUUAGGAGAAGAAAGUUUCCUUGCCUGUUAUUAAUUGCCAAAACAUAUGUGUCAAACUUUAAUUGAUACAAGAGCUUCUUGGGACAUUUACACAUGAAUGGAGAGAAAAAGGAGGCAAUAUCUAGGGUUUUGCCCUUAAUCGUCUUUUGUAAUUUUCUCAAGUAUAACAAAUGCUGAAUUCUCCAGAGGAAUAAACUCAAAGAUUUAGGAAACUUGGAUACCAACAAGACAUACCUUUUUCAUCUUUGCCAGGUGCUCUAGUUUGGAUGUUUGACUCCCCAAACCUCAUGUGGAAAUGUGAUCCCCAAUGUUGGAGGUGGGGGAAGGUGUUAGGGACAUGGGGACGGAUCCCUCAGGAACAGCAAAACGUCCUCCAGGUCUGAUUGUUAAAGAGAGCCUGGCACACCUCCUCCCCUUCUUGCUCUCUCUCUCUCUCUCUCUCUCUCUCUCCCUCUCUCUCUCUCUCUCCCUCUCCUCUCUCUCUUUCUCCCUUUCUCUCUCCCUCUUCCCCCCUCUCUUACCAUGUGAUUUCCGCUUCCCUUUGCCUUCCACCAUUAGUGGAAGCUUCCUGAGUUUCUCAUCAAAAUAGAUACUGGUGGCAUGCUUCUUGUACAGCUUGCAGAAUAGUACUUAGGGAAAUUUAUUUCCUUUUUUCUUGUUUUCUUUCUUUUUUCUUCCCCUUCCUCUUUCCUCCCUCACUCGCUCACUCCCUAACUCACUCUCUCUCUCUCUCACCUCUUGUUUUAUUGCAAAAUGUGUAUGUUGAGGGAGGUUGGCAUAUAUAAAUAUGAGAUAAACCUAAGAGACAACAUGAAAAGUUUCCUCAAGUAAAAAGCAUGGAAAGGGCCGGGCGCGGUGGCUCACCUGUAAUUCCAGCACUUUGGGAGGCUGAGGCGGGCAGAUCAUGAGGUCAGGAGAUCUAGACCAUCCUGGCUAAUACAAUGAAACCCCGUUUCUACUAAACGUACAAAAAAUUAGCCGGGCAUAGUGGCAGGUGCCUGUAAUCGCAGCUAUUCGGGAGACCGAGGCAGGGAAAUUGCUUGAACCCAGGAGGUGGAGGUUGCAGUGAGCCGAGAUCGCGCCACUGCACUCCAGCCUGGGUGACAGAGCGAGACUCUGUCUCAAAAAAAAAAAAAAAAAAAAAAGCAUGGAAAGAAGAAUGCUAACAGGAUUUAAGAGAGGGGAGGAUAAGAGGGAAGGAGAAACACCAAAAGCUUCAUGAGUACCUUUUUUUUUUUUUUAAUUAUACUUUAAGUUUUAGGGUACAUGUGCACAUUGUGCAGGUUAGUUACAUAUGUAUACAUGUGCCAUGCUGGUGUGCUGCACCCACUAACUCGUCAUCUAGCAUUAGGUAUAUCUCCCGAUGCUAACCCUCCCCCCUUCCCCCACCCCACAACAGUACCCAGAGUGUGAUAUUCC